AUACUUACCUGGCAGGGGAAAUACCGCGAUCAUGCAGGUGGUUUUCCCAGGGCGAGGCUUGUCCAUUGCACUUUGGGGCGAGCUGACCUCUGCGAUUUCUCCACAUAGGAGAAACUCGACUGCGUAAUUUGUGGUAGUGGGGGACUGCGUGCGCGCUCUCCCCUG